rnacentral:rRNA from 1 species
CCUACGGGAGGCAGCAGUGAGGAAUAUUGGUCAAUGGACGAAAGUCUGAACCAGCCAAGUAGCGUGCAGGAUGACUGCCCUAUGGGUUGUAAACUUCUUUUAUAAGGGAAUAAAACGAGGCACGUGUGCCUUUUUGCGUGUACUUUAUGAGUAAGGAUCGGCUAACUCCGUGCCAGCAGCCGCGGUAAUACGGAGGAUCCGCGCGUUAUCCGGAUUUAUUGGGUUUAAAGGGAGCGUAGAUGGGUUGUUAAGUCAGCUGUGAAAGUUUGCGGCUCAACCGUAAAAUUGCAAUUGAUACUGGAAGUCUUGAGUACAGACGAGGUAGGCGGAAUUCGUGGUGUAGCGGUGAAAUGCUUAGAUAUCACGAAGAACCCCGAUUGCGAAGGCAGCUUACUAAACUGUGACUGACACUGAGGCUCGAAAGUGCGGGUAUCAAACAGGAUUAGAUACCCGUGUAGUC